rnacentral:rRNA from 1 species
CAAGUCGAACGAACCUUCGGGUUAGUGGCGGACGGGUGAGUAACGCGUGGGAAUCUGCCCUCAGGAGGGGGAUAACGGUUGGAAACGACCGCUAAUACCCCAUAUGCCGAGAGGUGAAAUGAAUUUCGCCUGAGGAUGAGCCCGCGUCUGAUUAGCUUGUUGGUGAGGUAAUGGCUCAUCAAGGCAUCGAUCAGUAGCUGGUCUGAGAGGAUGAUCAGCCACACUGGGACUGAGACACGGCCCAGACUCCUACGGGAGGCAGCAGUGGGGAAUUUUCCGCAAUGGGCGAAAGCCUGACGGAGCAACGCCGCGUGAGGGACGAAGGCCUCUGGGCUGUAAACCUCUUUUCUCAAGGAAGAAGAUAUGACGGUACUUGAGGAAUAAGCCACGGCUAAUUCCGUGCCAGCAGCCGCGGUAAUACGGGAGUGGCAAGCGUUAUCCGGAAUUAUUGGGCGUAAAGCGUCCGCAGGCGGCCUUUCAAGUCUGCUGUUAAAGCGUGGAGCUUAACUCCAUCAUGGCAGUGGAAACUGAUUGGCUUGAGUAUGGUAGGGGCAGAGGGAAUUCCCGGUGUAGCGGUGAAAUGCGUAGAUAUCGGGAAGAACACCAGUGGCGAAGGCGCUCUGCUGGGCCAUUACUGACGCUCAUGGACGAAAGCCAGGGGAGCGAAAGGGAUUAGAUACCCCUGUAGU